GAUGAACGCUGGCGGCGUGCCUAACACAUGCAAGUCGAGCGAACGGACCAGAAGUUUUCUUCUCUGAUGUUAGCGGCGGACGGGUGAUUCACAUGUGUAUAACCUACCUCUCAGACUGGGAUACUUACGCGAAACCGUAUCUUCUACCGGAUAAUAUUUUGCACCUCAUGGUUCAAACGUUAAAUUCGGUCUUUCUGUCACUUAUAGAUUGAUCCGCGCUGCAUUAGCUAGUUGUUAAGGUAACGGCUUAACAAGGCUACGAGGCAUAGACGACCUGAGAGGGAGGUCGGCCACCUGGGAAGUGAGACACAGUCCAGACUCCUGCGGGAGGAAGCAGUCGGGAAUCUUACGCAAUGGGGGAGAGCCUAACAGAGCAAAGCGGGGUGAGGGAUGAAGGAGUAAGGAUCGGAAAGCUCUGAUAGUAGGGAUGAAGAAAAGUGUAAGUAACUGGGAAGAUAAUGACGGUACCGGAUCAAAAAGCAACGGCUAACUACGUG
rnacentral:rRNA from 1 species